rnacentral:rRNA from 1 species
GACGAACGCUGGCGGCGUGCUUAACACAUGCAAGUCGAACGGUAAGGCCCUUCGGGAUACACGAGUGGCGAACGGGUGAGUAACACGUGGGUGAUCUGCCCUGCACUUCGGGAUAAGCCUGGGAAACUGGGUCUAAUACCGGAUAAGACCACUGCCUGCAUGGGUGGUGGUGGAAAGCUUUUGCGGUGUGGGAUGGGCCCGCGGCCUAUCAGCUUGUUGGUGGGGUGAUGGCCUACCAAGGCGACGACGGGUAGCCGGCCUGAGAGGGUGACCGGCCACACUGGGACUGAGAUACGGCCCAGACUCCUACGGGAGGCAGCAGUGGGGAAUAUUGCACAAUGGGCGCAAGCCUGAUGCAGCAACGCCGCGUGAGGGGUGACGGCCUUCGGGUUGUAAACCUCUUUCAGCACCGACGAAGCGCAAGUGACGGUAGGUACAGAAGAAGGACCGGCCAACUACGUGCCAGCCGCCGCGGUAA